CUCAGGUGUAACAGCUGUUCGUCCGCCUUCAGGCUCCGCAGGUGGAGAAGCAGGACAGCGUUUCCUGGAGCCGCUCCUGCGCGCUGAUUGGUCAGCUGGACUCUGCACAUGACUCACCUUUUGUUCCUGCUGCAGAUGUUGGUGACCAGGAUGUUAAUGUUAAAGGGAGAGUGGUGGGGACACUGUGAUGAAGGAAAAGACUAACAGUAUGGAGGAAAAUCUGGUAGGUGGCGAUGAUAACAGCUCAAAAUGGAAAUGAAGAUCAUCCUGACCAUGGCUAAAACAGUGCUGGGAUUCAGGUUCUCCUUCCAGAAAAUGAUUAAAAGAUCUGAAGUUCAUCCAACACCGAUUUCCAGCUGGUUUUUUCAAGCGUUGGACUUUAUUUAGAUGGUCCAGAACACGGCAGCACGUCUGGUCUUCAAUCAGCCCAAAAGAGUCGCCUCUCUGUUCACUGAGCUCUACUGGUUACUCUUAGCCGCCAGCAUCUAAUUCACUGAUGAUAGCCUAUAGAGAACUUCAUGGAACAUCUCCCUUCUACCUGAAGGCUUCUGUCACAACUCGGCUGCUCAGGUUGACUAGCGGUGCUCACUCCACGUUCAAGACAAUCCAGACUCUUUUCAUGUGUCGUUCCAUGAUUGUGGAAUGAUCUGGCAAGUACUACCAGAACCGGGGCGUCCCUGUCUAUCUUAAAAAAAAUUCCUGAAGACCCAACGCUUCAGGGAACAUCCCUACCCUGUACUUCUCUACUACCUCUCUCUGCACUUCCUGCUCCCUAUUUCUGUCUCCUCUGGCAGAACCUGACUAGUGGUCCUUCUUCUAAGUAGCUUACCAUUAGCUUUGAUAUUCGCUGCAUUGUUAUAUUCUCAUUUGUAAGUUGCUUUGGAUAAAACCUUCUGCCAAACACAGAAACAGAAACGUAAUGAAUCAUUUUAAAAGCUCAGAGUUCAUAGAAUAAGAUCGUUUACUUUCAGAAAUACUUUGACAUGCAUUGGGAGACAUUCAAACUAUUUCUGGAUCAGAACACUUUGUAAACUCUGCAUGUUUUCAAGAUUUCAGAAACAUCUUUGGAAUAAAACACUAUUUUAGCUCAGCCUGGUUUCAUAAAGAAGGCCUUCUGCAAAGGUUUUGGUCAGAGCUAAAAGACGUCAGAUUUCUAUAAGGUUCUAAGGGCAACCAGAGCCUGAGGACCCGGCCAAGAACAUGAGACAGAACACCAAAGAAGGGAAUGUGUACCAACAGAAACUACCAAAUGACCCAGUGACAGAAAGUACAAAUACUAUAUAAAGUUGUAGAGGAGCUGUUUGGUUGUAUCGGGUUGACGGUGGAUCAGGAGGUAGGGAGUCAUCCUGUAACUGGUAGGUUGCCGAUUCAAACCCUCAUGUGUCUGUCUCAGUAGUUGUGUCCUUGAGAAAGACACUUCAUCCAUCUGCUGAUGGUGGUCAGAAGGCCCAGUGGCCCCGAUUGUAUGGAAGCCCCACUUCUGACAGUCUGUAGCUACAAUGAUGUACAUAUGUAUGAAUGGGUAGAUCACUGAUCUGUGAAGUGCUUUGGAUAAAAAGCACUCUAUAAGUUCAGGCUAUUUACCAUUUUUAUUCUGCUGCUGAUAAACAGAAGGUUUGGUCAUACUAAAUAACCUGCAGGACAACGUUUAUUGGAGCAUUCCACUGACAUUAAACUUAUGAAGAAAGUAAAAAUGAAAAUCAUUUACUGUGUGGAUUAUACCAGACAUUUAGAUUAAAAAAAAACAAGGACAGGUUCUAGCAUUUAAGAAAACCUCCAAACAGUUUCUUAUAAAAUAAAUAUGUUUUAUUACUGUGCUCAAACUGUGUAUUUUUACAACUAUGUCUGUAGUUCCCUCAUUAAUAUUACAAAGAUGUCAACAUACACAGAAAGGAGAAGUAAAUGCAUGAUUUAGAGGAUGAAGUUUCAUAACUAUGACACAAAUUUCCGUUACAAUGUGUUUGGGGAAUUACAUUCAUAACACUGAGCCUGGAGAUCCAGUUAAAGUGGCCAGUAGCAUGAGUUUGGUUUCUUUUGGUUUUCUAUUGGACACCCCUGUUCACGCUAGUCCACUGUACCUUGGAUCAGGUAUAG